rnacentral:misc_RNA from 1 species
GAUUCCGUCGAAACGGUCCUGUGAUUGGUGAUCCGCUCGUUCCGCUUCCGCAUAUUCCGCUCCAUGGGACCGUACCCUAAGACGAUUUUAGGGACAUUCAGAGCACGUUAAAGAUGAUGUGGUUGGUUGACGCAAAUUACGUUUACACCGUAUGUAAAGCCACUCUGAGGGUGCAGUCCCAUAGAGCGUAUUACGCCUAAGCGGAACGAGCGUAUCACAAAUUACGGGACCGUUUCGACGGAAUUUUUGAAAGAGUUCUAUCAGAAUAAUCUCGUGUUGGUGUUCCGCUCGUUCUGCUUAUGCGUAAUACGUUCCAUGGGACUGCACCCUGAGGCUGAUGUCCCCUGGAGCGGAUUAUGCGGAGCGGAAUGAGGGUGCAGUCCCAUGGAGCGGAUUAUGCGGAAGCGGAACGAGCGGAUCACCAAUCACGGGAUUAUUCUGAUAGAACUCUUUUAAAGAUUCCGUCGAAACGGUCCUGUGAUCUCGUUCGCACAUGUGUACAAGUGCAAAAUCCACCUUUUGCACUUAUGCGCAUGCACGAGACCAUCUUUUGCACUUGUACGCAUGCGUGAACGAGAGAGAAAGGUAUUACCCAAAGCAUGCUAGCCUUUUCCCUCUGAAUCUUACCCCUACUCCCACAAUGCUCAGUCUAGAUAUAUUAUAGGCGAGUUUUUUAAUUUAUCGAUCAAUUGCAUUAUGCACAGAUGCUUUUCUCUGUAAAAACUUUUUUUGCGCAUCGUGCGAUUGAGUAAUCGAUGAGUUAAAAAACUCACCUUAUGUCUAUGGACGCGACAGACUCUUAUUGGGUGCGUUCCACUUAAAGCUUGCAACGACCGUGGAAUCAUUUUAUCCUUGUUGUUUAUCAAAUAUUAAACAAAGAUAAAUGACGCUCGCAAGCGUUGCGAGCGUUAAGUGGAACGCACCCAUUGUAGAUCCGCCCUAAUCCGCUUCAUAGGACCGCAACCCGAGUGGUUGCGCUGCUGGUUGCAAUGGCCGCAUUCAGCAAACUCAGCAGCUAAGUAGCAAUCGAACAUGAUUGGUUCUGACUUAUAGAACCAACAAAUCAACGGCAUUAUUCAACGGAAAAUCUAGUAAUGUUGCUCAACUACUGAGUCUGCUGAAUGCGGCCAAUGAGUCUUUAUUGCGAUUAGUUUUUGCUCUAGUUCUAUUAAAUAACUAAGACCAAGAACCAAUUGAAUUAAAAAAUCACUGCGCGGCAAACUGUAGAUGCAGACCAAUUGAGACAAAGGUUAAUAUGCGAUGUUCGAAGAUGUGGAUUUUUUAUUGUAUCUGCGCAUUUUACGGUAAAGAUAUCUGUCGUGAUGAAAAUUUAUAUUAAAAUUUACAAGGAAGUUGUAAAAAUUCUAAUAAUGUUUGCUUUAGUAAUGCUCACCAAUGGUACAUAUUACGUAUGUCCAUUAAAUGAUAUUUACGCAAGAAAAGGUAAUAAUUGCAUGUUGAAAAAUGCGCAGUUAAGAACAAAGGCAUGCAUAAUGGCUGUUAACGCAAAUAUCGAGCAUCUUUCUAAAAUUAAAAAAAAUUUAAACCAUAAUAUUCCUCGAGUAAAAUUACAAUCUAUAAAUCUUUGCAAGUAUAAAACACUUAGCCGACAAAAGCCUCGAAUAAUUAAAUCUGAGGUACUUAAAAAAGGCCAAAAAAUAAAAAUAAAAAAUAAAAGUAAAACUAAUCAGCAGGCGCAAGAAAAACUAAAGACUACAUCUGAAGAAUACAAUCUCUCUGAUAUGAUUCUUACAAAUGAUUUUUCAAAUGCUAUACUACAAAUAGACACUGUGAAUAAUGAUAGCUCGUCCACUGAUUUAUGUUUGAAUAUUCAAACAAGAAUAUUGGAAAAAUCUAAUACUCGAGAAACAUUAGAUACAUUGGUUGAGAGAUCAAAAACCAACACUGAUGAAGACAAUUAUAAGAUUCUUACAAAUGACUUUUCAAAUGCCGCAUUACAAACAGACACUGUAAAUAAUGAUAUCUGGUCCACUGAUUUAUGUUUUGAAAAUAUUGAAACAAGAGUAUUGGAAAGAUCUGAUAAUCAAGAAACAUUAAACAUGUCGGUUGAGAAAUCAAGAACCAAUACUGAUGAAGAUAAUUAUAUGAUUCUUACAAAUGACUUCUCAAAAAGUACACUACAAAUAGGCAUAAUGAAAAACAAUAGCUCGUCCACUGAUUUAUGUGUUGAAGAUAUUGAAAGCAAUAAUAUUGGAGAAAUCUGAUACUCAAGAAACAUUAAAUAUGUUGGUUGAGAAAUCAAGAAAAAAUACUGAUGAAGAUAAUUAUAUGAUUCUUACAAAUGACUUCUCAAAAAGCACACUACAAAUAGGCACUAUGAAAAACAAUAGCUCGUCCACUGAUUUAUGUGUUGAAGAUACUGAAACAA